GCCUGGUUUUGGGGUUUUUCCCUUUAAAGGACAGGUAAGAUUCUGAGCGGUUCCGCCAAGAAUGGGUUGUGUGAAACCAGAGACACGUAAGGGGGGGUUUGGACUUUUAGCUGAUUCUUUUUUUUGGGUUGGAAAGAGUCUCCUCAGGGACUGCUGUCACUCUGGAGAUGGGUGUCACUUUUGCCAGACACCAGUUGGCCGGGACCUCCCCAGUUUGCCAGGACUGCUGGUCAGUGAUGGAGAGUGGCUCAUUGAGCACUUCCACCAGCUCCCUCAGACCCUCGGGUGGAUCCCACCUGGGCCCAUGGACUUGUUUGUGUCCAGGUGCUGGAGCAGGUCCCUCACCGCUUCCCUCCUUCACCCCAUCCCAAACAACACGCACCACAUCACCCCACGAGUGGCCAGCACAGGCCUGCGAUGGGGAUCCCCAGUGACCUCCCGGGUCCCCAGUGCUGUGAGGUCACAGGCAGGCAGUGAUGUCACAGGGACAGGCGAUGAGGUCACAGAGACCCUCUGGAAGGUAUCCUGGUGCCGCGGGCAGUGCUCCGGCAGUGCUGGCAGUGGCAGCAGCAGCAGCAGUUGCAGCAGAGCCAGUGUCAGUGUCAGCUCCAGUGGCAGCGUCAGAGCCAGUGGCAGCAUCAGCAGCAGAGGCAGGGACAUGGCGCGGGGGCCUGUGACCCCCACGCGCCUCUUCCUCCUCCUCCUCUUCCUCCUGCUCCUUCCAGCCCAAGAGGCCUGGGCUGCUCCAUGGAGGGCACGGGAAUUAGCUGGAGCCGACGGCCACCCGACCUCGGAGACGCGUCUGGUGCAGGAGCCUCAGGGUCACCCCACAGGUCCUCACGGAGCAAAGCAUGAAGCUGAGAGAAGGAAAUCCUCUCACGGGUCGUCGGGCGUCCUGAAGGAGCUGCUGAAGGAGUUGCGGAAGGCAGCACACGCGAUGGACGAGAAGGCGCUCCAGGAAGGAGGCGGUUGGGCAGUGCCCGACUCUGAUGAAGAAAUGGAGGCAACUCAAUCAACAGGUAAUUGCUGUCCCACAGUCAUCCAGCCUCCCGAAUCGCAAUCCCUGGGCGUCUGCAGGCUCUUCCCCUGGUGCUGCGACCUCAGGGGGUGUCAGCAGCCACACUAUUAG
rnacentral:lncRNA from 1 species